CCCCUCUCGGGGUCGCACCUGGAGAGUUUCCAGUGCUCUACCGGUCUUGGCUAAGGGAGGGAGAGUCAAGUAGAGGUCAACCCAUUCCAUUCCUAGCUCGGCUAGUGGCUAGCAAGUGGAAGACAAUCUACUACAAGA